AGAGUUUGAUCCUGGCUCAGAUUGAACGCUGGCGGCAGGCCUAACACAUGCAAGUCGAGCGGAAACGACACUAACAAUCCUUCGGGUGCGUUAAUGGGCGUCGAGCGGCGGACGGGUGAGUAAUGCCUAGGAAAUUGCCUUGAUGUGGGGGAUAACCAUUGGAAACGAUGGCUAAUACCGCAUAAUGCCUACGGGCCAAAGAGGGGGACCUUCGGGCCUCUCGCGUCAAGAUAUGCCUAGGUGGGAUUAGCUAGUUGGUGAGGUAAUGGCUCACCAAGGCGACGAUCCCUAGCUGGUCUGAGAGGAUGAUCAGCCACACUGGAACUGAGACACGGUCCAGACUCCUACGGGAGGCAGCAGUGGGGAAUAUUGCACAAUGGGCGAAAGCCUGAUGCAGCCAUGCCGCGUGUAUGAAGAAGGCCUUCGGGUUGUAAAGUACUUUCAGUUGUGAGGAAGGGGGUAGCGUUAAUAGCGCUAUCUCUUGACGUUAGCAACAGAAGAAGCACCGGCUAACUCCGUGCCAGCAGCCGCGGUAAUAC
rnacentral:rRNA from 1 species